GACGAACGCUGGCGGCGUGCUUAACACAUGCAAGUCGAGCGAUGAAGCUUCUCCGGAAGUGGAUUAGCGGCGGACGGGUGAGUAACACGUGGGUAACCUGCCUCAUAGAGGGGAAUAGCCUUCCGAAAGGAAGAUUAAUACCGCAUAAGAUUGUAAUAUCGCAUGAUAUAGCAAUUAAAGGAGCAAUCCGCUAUGAGAUGGACCCGCGUCGCAUUAGCUAGUUGGUGAGGUAACGGCUCACCAAGGCGACGAUGCGUAGCCGACCUGAGAGGGUGAUCGGCCACAUUGGGACUGAGACACGGCCCAGACUCCUACGGGAGGCAGCAGUGGGGAAUAUUGCACAAUGGGGGAAACCCUGAUGCAGCAACGCCGCGUGAGUGAUGACGGUCUUCGGAUUGUAAAGCUCUGUCUUUAAGGACGAUAAUGACGGUACCUAAGGAGGAAGCCACGGCUAACUACGUGCCAGCAGCCGCGGUAA
rnacentral:rRNA from 1 species